rnacentral:tRNA from 1 species
ACCAGUGUAUUUAAGAAAUACAUAGUACUGGUCUGGGGAUGUGGCUCCGUGGUCGAUAACUUUGGUAUACCUGAGGUCCUGGGUUCAAUUCCCAGCACUGGGG